rnacentral:rRNA from 1 species
UCCACGGAAGGCAGCAGUCGCGCAAAUUACCCAAUCUCAAUACGAGGAGGUAGUGACAAAAAAUAACGAUGCGGGAAACACACGUUUCUUGCAAUUGGAAUGCAUCAAAUUUAAAAAACUUGGUGAAUUCAAUUGGAGGGCAAGUCUGGUGCCAGCAGCCGCGGUAACACCAGCUCCAAUAGCGUAUAAUAAAGUUGUUGCAGUUAAAAAGCUCGUAGUUGGAUUUCUGACGUUGAGAAAUAUAUUUCACCUUUAUGGUUGCAAAUAAAUUUUUCCGUCAUCCUUCGGUGAGACAUUAUUGUAUUUCUUAAUUGAAAUACAGUAAUGGAUCCCGAUCUUUUACUUUGAAAAAAUUAGAGUGUUCAAAACAGGCUUACGCUUUGAAUACAUUAGCAUGGAAUAAUAAAAUAGGACUUUUGUUUUAUUUUGUUGGUUUCUAAGACGAAAGUAAUGAUUGAUAGGGAUAGUUGGGGGUGCUCGUACUAAAUGGCCAGAGGUUAAAUUCUAUUACCCAUUUAAGACGAACUUAUGCGAAAGCAUUCACCAAGGAUGUCUUCUUUAAUCAAGAACGAAAGUUGGGGGAUCGAAGACGAUCAGAUACCGUUGUAGUCUCAACCAUAAACUAUGCCGACUCGGGAUUGGUGAUCGUUAGUUUUUGACAUCAUCAGCACCGUAUGAGAAAUCAAAGUCUUUGGGUUCUGGGGGGAGUAUUACCGCAAGAUUGAAACUUAAAGGAAUUGACGGAAGAACACCACCAGGUGUGGAAUCUGCGGCUUAAUUUGACUCAACACGGGAAAACUUACCAGGUCCAGACACGAUAAGGAUUGACAGAUUGAAGAUCUUUCUUGAUUUCGUGAGUGGUGGUGCAUGGCCGUUCUUAGUUGGUGGAGUGAUUUGUCUGCUUAAUUGCGAUAACGAACGAGACCUCAGCCUGCUAAUUAGAUGAAUUAAUCUUUGGAUUGAUUCACGCUUCUUAGAGGGACUGCAUGUGUUCAACAUGAGGAAGUUUGAGGCAAUAACAGGUCUGUGAUGCCCUUAGACGUUCUGGGCUGCACGCGCGUUACACUGGCAUUUUCAAUAAGUAAUAACCUAGACCGGAAGGUUUUGGGUAAUCUUUUAAAGAAUGCCGUGCUUGGGAUAGAUUAUUGCAAUUAUUAAUCUUCAACGAGGAAUAUCUAGUAAUCGCACGUCAUCAACGUGCAAUGAUUACGUCCCUGCUCUUUGUACACACCGCCCGUCGCUCCUACCGAUGAACGAUUCAGUAAGAAGAUCGGAACGAAUUAUGGGAAGCUUUGCUUACCCGCGAUUUGCAAAGAUUUU